rnacentral:rRNA from 1 species
GACAGAGGGUGCAAACGUUGUUCGGAAUUACUGGGCGUAAAGCGAGUGUAGGCGGUUUGGUAAGUCGGAUGUGAAAGCCCCGGGCUCAACCCGGGAAGUGCACUCGAUACUGCCAAGCUAGAGUAUCGGAGAGGUUGGUGGAAAUUCUCGGUGUAGAGGUGAAAUUCGUAGAUAUCGAGAGGAACACCGGUGGCGAAGGCGGCCAACUGGACGAAUACAUG